GAUGAACGCUGGCGGCGUGCCUAAUACAUGCAAGUCGAGCGAACGGACGAGAAGCUUGCUUCUCUGAUGUUAGCGGCGGACGGGUGAGUAACACGUGGAUAACCUACCUAUAAGACUGGGAUAACUUCGGGAAACCGGAGCUAAUACCGGAUAAUAUUUUGAACCGCAUGGUUCAAAAGUGAAAGACGGUCUUGCUGUCACUUAUAGAUGGAUCCGCGCUGCAUUAGCUAGUUGGUAAGGUAACGGCUUACCAAGGCAACGAUGCAUAGCCGACCUGAGAGGGUGAAGGGCAACACUGGAACGGAGACAAGGUGCAGACACCUACGGGAGGCAGCAGUAGGGGAUCUGCAGCAAUGGGCGAAAGACUGAAGGAGAAGAGGAGAGUGAGUGAUGAAGGUAUUCGGAUCGUAAAACUCUGUUAGUAGAGAAGAACAAAUGUGUAAGUAACUAUGCACGUCUUGACGGUAGAUAAUCAGAAAAACACGGCAAACUACGUG
rnacentral:rRNA from 1 species